CCUGUGGAUUUUUCCACAGCCUUGUGCUGUCCAGAUCAAGGACUGGGAGGCAUGGGAGAGACCAGCUGUGGUGAGAGGCAGUUGAAGAAGCUCUGAGAGAAGACUUCUGGGACACUGAGAGUCAGCAAGCAGGGCACUGCCGCAGGUUGGGGAGAUGGCAAUGCUUGGUGCGGGGAAAAGCCCCCUGUGGGGCUGGGACCCAGGACCUGGUGUGUUGGAGAAGGAAGGUAGAAACCUGCUCCUGGCCUUGGAAGCCUUUGUCUUUGGUUUUCUCCGUGAGCACUGCUGGAUGGCAAGCUGGGCAGCAGCAGUAUGUGGCCAGGAGGCCUCGGAGGGCGGCAGGAGCUGCAGCAAUACAUUCUGGGGGCCUGCACCCACCCGUCACAUCACCACUGCAGUGCCCCCUGGGGCAGCCACCUCGCCUCCCUGGCAUCUGUGUCCUGUCCCUGAAGUGGAGCUAACACUUUCCUACAUCCUGGAGCCACUGUGAAGUUGGGUUAAAAGUGAAUGUAAUUUGUUGCCAUCAAACCACGAAGGGACCAUAGUGCCGCUGGGGCCCAGGAUCCUCUCCAGGAGGUGGAGGUGAACUUCGUGGGUCCCCCCGUUUCCCAGCCUCCAGGGUUCUGGGCACAGCCAGGGCCCCAGAGCCUGCCCUCUGCUCCGAAGUCUAACUUCUGCCGAGACUCUCCAAGCCAACUCUCUGCCCCCAGCAGCGUCGGAGGCAGGAAGGGGACAAAGCCCAGCCUUGGCACGCUGACAGUCACGAGAACCUGGUCAAGGACAGCGGAGCAGCCAAAUUGUGAUUCUCACUCCAGGACUGUGGAUGCACCAGAGCUGCCAGAUGUGAACAGGAUCCUCUGUAGAGCGGACAGCCACCCCCUUCUGGGGUCCCAUGGGCAUGUGCACGUCUACAGAGCAUACGUGCCUCAGUUUCCUCAUUCAGCCACCUGCGGUCAGCAACCGGAGGAGAAAAUGAAGGCCCGAGAGGCCAGGGGUCAGGCUGUGGCUGUGGCAAGCUCGAGAGUGGGCUUCGCUUGGGGGUGCCUGCACAGGCCAGACCCGCGCGGGAAGACACUCCCCACACGGUGGAGUGUGGGGCAGCCUGGUCGGUCUGACGCUGACUUGUAAACACGCAGAGGCACCGGUCGGGCUGAAUGCCGCGUCGUCUCGCACCGCACGGGCAGCAAGUCCUUCCACCCUGUCCCUGCAGAAGCACAGAGGACCUCGGAACCUGCCGCAAGGCCAGGCCCACGGGUGUCAGCAUUGAUGAGCAACGCAGCCCCUGGCCUUUCCCCAGGACUGGAAGGCGCAGAAGGGGAAGCCGGUUCCUGAGAGCGAAUUUCCUCAUCAGAAUGUGCUGCGGUGUGACUGGGUGCUGUAUAGGUGCAGCGCGGGGCACCCAGGGGUGCCUCCUAGCUCCAGAAACUUCCCCGGCUCCUUCUGCCUCUGGGAGCUUGGCAGUCAGGGGAUAUUCUCAUCUCUGUCCCCAGCCUAAGGCUAAAGACCCAGCCUAAGAGCCUACGUGAUGUGACUGAAAAAUACAGUGAACAUUUAAUUUUUUAAAAAUCUCUUACGGGAAUAAAGACA